CCUACGGGUGGCUGCAGUGGGGAAUAUUGCACAAUGGGGGGAACCCUGAUGCAGCGACGCCGCGUGAAGGAAGAAGUAUUUCGGUAUGUAAACUUCUAUCAGCAGGGAAGAAAAUGACGGUACCUGACUAAGAAGCCCCGGCUAACUACGUGCCAGCAGCCGCGGUAAUACGUAGGGGGCAAGUGUUAUCCGGAUUUACUGGGUGGAAAGGGAGCGUAGGCGGCGAGGCAAGUCAGAAGUGAAAGCACGGGGCUCAACUCCGGGACGGCUGUUGAAACUGUGUUGCUAGAGUGCAGGAGAGGUAAGUGGAAUUCCUGGUGUAGCGGUGAAAUGCGUAGAUAUUAGGAGGAACACCAGUGGCGAAGGCGGCUUACUGGACUGUAAAUGACGCUGAGGCUCGAAAGCGUGGGGAGCAAACAGGAUUAGAUACCCGAGUAGUC
rnacentral:rRNA from 1 species